CUGGGUAGAAAGCGGCGCACACCUCUCGACACCCCUGAGCCGCUCACACCGGUGUUGCCCUUGAGCCAUCCUAGAUGUCGCUUUUUGUGGGGGCCCAUCUUGUGAGGGCGAGUCACCGUCUGCCGGAAAUAAAAUUGCAUACCGUUUUAUUAGGCAGGCGUCCGGUUUUUUACCCCAUAGCUCAGUUCUUAGUCCAUCGCUUUCACCCAAUAACCUAGUUCAUUUUAGAUUCCAUCAACUCUCAAUAGUCCUUACACCCUGGCGGGUGCUGCCUCUGCGUGCGUCCCAUGACACGGGCAAGGGCAGCCUCCGCUCGGUGUACCCCUUACAUUUCAUUAAAGUGUCAAAAGGGCCUCUACGUGUUGGCUUCGGCUCCGCGCACGCCUCCCAAAGGUCCGGAACACCAUUGUUCCGUGAUGGGAAAGACAUACAAAUAAUAAUAAUAAUAAUAAAUAUUAUAGGACAUUUUUACACAAAUUGACUAAGCCCCACAGUAAGCUCAAGAAGGCUUCUUGUGUUGUGGGUACUCAGACAACGAUAUAUAUAAUAUAUAAAUACUUAAAUACAUAGAAAACACCCAUGACUCAGGAACAAAUAUCUGUAUCAUCAUACAAAUAAAUGCCCUUACCAGGAUUCGAACCCGGGACCAUCGGCUUCAUAGGCAGGGUCACUACCCACUAGGCCAGACCGGUUGUCAAAAGGAUAAAACAUAAU